rnacentral:rRNA from 1 species
UUUUUUAAUUGAAGACUGGAAUGAAAGGUAAUUACUAAAGAGAUUGGUUUCAUUUUACUAAUUUGAAUUAAAAUUAAAAGUAAAAAUGCUUUUGUUAAUUUCUAGGACGAGAAGACCCUAGAAGCUUAAAAUUAAUAAAAUUUUUUAUUGGGGCAAUAGUUGAAGAUAUUAAUUUUUAAUAUUAAAUAAUUUUGUUACAAGUUACUCUAGGGAUAACAGCGUUAUUUAGUUAAAGAGUUCUUAUUAAUAAUUAAGGUUGCGACCUCGAUGUUGAAUUAAAGUAAAUUUUAGGUGAAGAAGCUUAAAAAAUUUAGUCUGUUCGACUAUUAAAAUUUUACGUGA